GUAGUCCCGGCUGUAAACGAUGGACACUGAAUGGAGGAGGGUUCACCUUUCUCUGUUGCAGCUAACGCGUUAAGUGUCCCGCCUGGGGAGUACGGCCGCAAGGUUAAAACUCAAAGGAAUUGACGGGGGCUCGCACAAGCGGUGGAGCAUGUGGUUCAAUUCGAUGCAACGCGAAGAACCUUACCCGGGCUUGAAGUGGAGGUGGUAGGAGCCGGAAACGGCAACGACCCCGAAAGGGGAGCCUUCAUCAGGUGUUGCAUGGCUGUCGUCAGCUCGUGUCGUGAGAUGUUAGCUUAAGUGCUGUAACGAGCGAAACCCUUGCUGUUAGUUGCAAACCCGAAAGGGUGCACUCUAGCAGGACUGCCCGUGCUGAAUGGGA
rnacentral:rRNA from 1 species